rnacentral:misc_RNA from 1 species
GGAUUCAUUAAUAAGUAACUAAUGAAAACUGCUAAUGAAUUGAAUUUGGUCGUGAAUAGGAAAAUUACAAUGAAAAGGGAAAGAAUUUUUAGAAACGAAACAAUUCAGAGACAAGAGAUUAUAAUUGGAACAGAUCUGAGAAUUAACAUCAAUCUAAACCAAACACCAAAAACAAAAACGUCGAAAACAGAUUUCUCAAAAGCAAUUGCAAAAGCUGAGAAAAU